UAGCAUAUCAAUAAGCGGAGGAAAAGAAACUAACAAGGAUUCCCCUAGUAACUGCGAGUGAAGCGGGAAAAGCUCAAAUUUAAAAUCUGGCAGCCUUUGGUUGUCCGAGUUGUAAUCUAGAGAAGUGUUAUCCGCGCUGGACCGUGUACAAGUCUCCUGGAAUGGAGCGUCAUAGAGGGUGAGAAUCCCGUCUUUGACACGGACUGCCAGGGCUUUGUGAUGCGCUCUCAAAGAGUCGAGUUGUUUGGGAAUGCAGCUCAAAAUGGGUGGUAAAUUCCAUCUAAAGCUAAAUAUUGGCGAGAGACCGAUAGCGAACAAGUACCGUGAGGGAAAGAUGAAAAGAACUUUGGAAAGAGAGUUAAACAGUACGUGAAAUUGCUGAAAGGGAAACGCUUGAAGUCAGUCGCGUUGUCCAGGGAUCAACCUUGCUUUUGCUUGGUGCACUUUCUGGUCGACGGGUCAGCAUCAAUUUUGACUAUUGGAAAAAGAUUAGGGGAAUGUGGCAUCUUUGGAUGUGUUAUAGCCCUUGGUUGCAUACAAUGGUUGGGAUUGAGGAACUCAGCACGCCGCAAGGCCGGGUUUUUAACCACGUACGUGCUUAGGAUGCUGGCAUAAUGGCUUUAAUCGACCCGUCUUGAAACACGGACCAAGGAGUCUAACAUGCCUGCGAGUGUUUGGGUGGAAAACCCGAGCGCGUAAUGAAAGUGAAAGUUGAGAUCCCUGUCGUGGGGAGCAUCGACGCCCGGACCAGACCUUUUGUGACGGUUCCGCGGUAGAGCAUGUAUGUUGGGACCCGAAAGAUGGUGAACUAUGCCUGAAUAGGGUGAAGCCAGAGGAAACUCUGGUGGAGGCUCGUAGCGAUUCUGACGUGCAAAUCGAUCGUCAAAUUUGGGUAUAGGGGCGAAAGACUAAUCGAACCAUCUAGUAGCUGGUUCCUGCCGAA
rnacentral:rRNA from 1 species